rnacentral:lncRNA from 1 species
CUCAAAAAGAAGAAGGAUUUUUGCUGCUGACUGCAGAGGGAUGAACAUUUGCUAUCUAGUUCAAUAUAGCCCAGUUCAGGCAAUAGAAAAAAUUUGACAACCAUCAUGGAAAUAUUGUUUCCUUGGUUGUAGGAGUUGUUUCCUGGCAAAGCUCAAGCAGCAGAGGAAGGGAGUGGAAAUGUGAUGGCACGUGAUUUCUACGUUUUCUCACUUUUAGGAGAGACAGACUGAGGCAAAAUCCUGGACAGUUUGAUCAGUGUGAUACAAUACUUCUACUACAAAAAAUUCCAAGGAUAUAUGCUUUCCUAUUUUCCUCUUCCAGUGUUUUUGGACCACUGUGAUAUGUCAGCUGUGUUCAAAGCUGUUUUGUCUGGCAGGAAGACUUUAGUGGUGGCUGUGCAGUGCUGUCCUCAUGUAAGCUCUGCAUUUCUCCUCACUCAAAAGAGUGACAGGUUGAACAACUGA